rnacentral:rRNA from 1 species
GCGCACCAGGCGAGAAUCCUUCGCAAUGCAGGAAACUGCGACGAGGGAACUCCAAGUGCCUACGCUCAGCGUAGGCUGUUCUCAAGCCUAGAAAGCUUGAGGAGUAAGGGCUGGGUAAGACGGGUGCCAUCUGUGGUAGCAGUCAAUAGAUUCGAUUUGUUACUGCAAGGCAUAAGCCGCCGCGGUAAUACCCGCAGCCCAAGUGGUGGCCGCUUUUAUUGGGCCUAAAGCGUCCGUAGCCGGCCCGGUAAAUGCCUGGGUAAAUCGUGGAGCCCAACUUCACGAAUUCCGGGUAGACUGCCGAGCUCGGGACCGGAAGAGGGAGAGGGUACUUCAGGGGUAGAGGUGAAAUUCUGUAAUCCUAGGGGGACCACCAGUGGCGAAGGCGUCUAACUAGAACGGGUCUGACGGUGAGGGACGAAGCCCUGGGGCGCAAACGGGAUUAGAUACCCGCGUAGU